rnacentral:rRNA from 1 species
GUAGUCCACGCCGUAAACGUUGGGCGCUAGGUGUGGGUUCCCUUCCACGGGAUCCGUGCCGCAGCUAACGCAUUAAGCGCCCCGCCUGGGGAGUACGGCCGCAAGGCUAAAACUCAAAGGAAUUGACGGGGGCCCGCACAAGCGGCGGAGCAUGUGGCUUAAUUCGACGCAACGCGAAGAACCUUACCAAGGCUUGACAUGGGGAGUUUACCCGUAGAGAUGCGGGGUCCGUAAGGGCUUUCCACAGGUGGUGCAUGGUUGUCGUCAGCUCGUGUCGUGAGAUGUUGGGUUAAGUCCCGCAACGAGCGCAACCCUCGUUCCAUGUUGCCAGCACGUGAUGGUGGGGACUCAUGGGAGACUGCCGGGGUCAACUCGGA